CAUUGGGUAAAACUAGAGAUCUACCAGACCGACCACGACUGCGUUUACAGUUUCAUACUCUCAUUCUCAAAGAUUGAAACGUGAAUACCGAUAUGUGUAGGCUACGUUUGACUAUUCUAUCUACCGUGACGCGUGUUUUACGCAGUUUAUAAUGGCGUCUGUGCAGGAGAAAAAGGAAAAAGAAAGCGGAGAAGAAGUCUGUUGUAGAAAUUGAUAGCGUUUUACGCGGGUUCCCACAAGUAGGCUGUGACCGUCUUUCUGAGUUUGUGGUUCACAUUUUGUUUUGUUUUACCCCAACAUGAUGAAGAUCAAAUCGAAUCAAACGCGGAUAUAUGACGGGGAUGGCUACAAGAAACGCGCCGCCUGUCUGACCUUCAGGAACGAGAGUGAGGAGGUGUUGUUGGUUAGUGGUAGUCGGACUCAAGACAAGUGGAUUGUCCCUGGUGGAGGAAUAUAGCCGGAGGAAGAGCCCAACGUGGCUGCUGUUCGAGAGGUGUGUGAAGAGGCUGGUGUCAAGGGGACAUUGGGGCGACUACUAGGAAUUUUCGAGAACACAGAGAGGAAGCACAGAACAUAUGUCUAUGUCCUAAUGGUUACAGAGAUGUUAGAAGACUGGGAGGACUCUGUGAAUAUUAGUAGAAAAAGGGAAUGGUUUAAGACUGAUGAUGCCAACAGGGUGCUGCAGUGCCACAAGCCUGUGCAGGCCUCGUACUUUGCGGCCCUACAACAGGGCUUCCUGAGCAACAACAUGACACCCCUGGUGGCCACAAUAGGGGGAGGAGACCACUCCCCUACCUACAACAUCAACCAUAACUCUAGAUGGAAGUAUAAGUAAAACACAGAAAUCCUGGAGAAUUCUCCACAUCUUUUACCCGCUUCUUUUUCUUACCUCCUCCUACUACCACUACUUAUUUUUUAAACUUCAAAACAUCAACAGAAAUGUUUGCCUUGACAGCCUUUUUUUUGGUGCCAGAGUGGAGGUACAGACUUGAAGUGUUGGGCGAAGAGGAUUUUAUACUUUGUAAUUUGAAUGUUUUUUUUCUUGAUUUUUAUUAAUAAUUGCAUGAGGUAUUCCCAAACUCUUCCUCCUUUUCCUCGGUCCCUCAUUCCUCUCUGUCAUAAAUGUGAGGUUUGUUGAAUGCAACUCUCUGCUGUGGUGAUGUAAAGUAUUGCUAUGCUGUGUGUUUACCAUUUAGUUGCCACACCCCUUUACAUGGCAGUCAUAAGAAUGACAUAACCUCUCACCAUGUACUGUGACAGAUCGUUAGUCUAAGAGGUAAGAGUUAUACAGCCUGUCAAGGCUUUUUCUGUAUGACAUUUUCUGUAGUUUUUUUUCUUUUCAUAUCUUUUCUAAUCAUCUAAAAAUGCAUUUAUUUGGUUAAUGGUUAGAUGGGCUUGUUGGAAAACUUUCUGUUUUGUAUGUGUGGUUAAGGUACAUGGGUGUGUCUUGUGUGAUGUAAUCUGUAGGAAUGGAAUUAUCUGGUACAAAACGGGCUCAAUUGUGACGAUAGCACAAGCUUUGGUGAUUGGAGAGAGAAGUUUUGAUAAGGGGGCUGACAUAAAAAGAACACUCCCAUAGUAGCUUCGGCUUUUGCUAUCACACUAGGGCACACCUAACCAAAUCAUUGAAAUGUAAAUAAUCUGCACGUCUUGUUGUCAGUCUAGACUAUAAAGAUAAUAUAUUGAUUGGUUUUAUAAUGAAAUAACCAGAAAAACAGAGAAUUAUGCAUGUUAUCUGAUCCUCAUGGGGAAGGAACAAGAACCCAAACUAGUUUUUGGUGCAGGAGACAUGCUCUUGCAGAGUUUUUGAAUCAUGUUGUGCAUCAGGAGGUGGGUAGUAAUGUCAUCAGGUGUUGUUUAUUAUGCUUGACUAGUAAAGCUAAUUUAAAAUGGCACUUGGAAGAAUUUGCCGCUUCUGGAUAACGUGUUUGUCAUACUCUGGACCCCACUAAAAUUAAUGUGUUCAUGGUUUUCACUUGAUAAUUCUAUAUCCAUUUACUUUGUUGUUAAUAUUCAUAUUUAUUUUCUAAUGGUAUGAUGGUGAUUGAUUGCAUAUGACGGAAGUUUUUCAGUCUGUACUAAUCUCUCGGUGUGUGUAUUGAUGUAAGGUGAGGGCUGUUGAUUGAUUGGUGUGUGUGUGAUGCAGGAAGAGAUGUUGCACAACAGGAGAUGCAAUAACAAGGUAAAUCACCUGCACGUUUUGGUGAGGGCAAAUUUACGCUCAUGUGAAUCCAUCAAUUCUAAAUUGUAUUCUAACAAAUGUUUACACUGUGAUAUAAUUCUGCAUUUUCCCUUAAAUGAACACUGGACUUUUGUUUUUAUGUUAGCUAUAUUUGUUUCGUUAGGUUUUUGUUGUUUCUUGAAAUGCACUUUUAAAUAGUUCUUAAUAUAUUAUUUGUCUACUUUAGGUAGGUUCAUCAUUGGUUGUUCAAAUUGAUCAUUUAAAUCAAUCAAAUGCCAUUGAUCUGAUGAAUGGAUGGAUGCUGAUAAGUCUCAGAACCAUAGUGAUUCUGGCCCAGUCAAGACUUGUGAACAAGAAUAACUGGGAUUGGUAGAUAGGCUCGAGAACAUUAAACAUAUGUCAAUGCAGAGACCAACUCUCCACUACUGGCCCUGGAGUUUGGUACUGUUGUUUGCUUGUCACCCUGGCCCACGAAAAUUGAUGUGUAGAUUCUACUUCACACUGUACUUUGCCCUGAUGGGCUAGUAGGUAUGUGCCAAUUUCAAUAAUGACGUUUUAUAAAAUCUUGUUUCAGGACCCCCAAAACUCCCAAGAAAAAACUAUGUAAGUUGUCAUGUAACUGACUGGCUCUGGCAGAACUGGCAGAAUAUUUCUCAACCGAGCAUAAUUUAGGGCACAAAGAAUGAGAAUAUUAUAUUCUUGUUGAGCUGGAUUGUGCCAAACGUACCCAUUGACCCAACUGAUCUGGCACAAAGAGCUGUUAAGUUCGUUCUCAGCCUUAUUCAUCUCCUCUGGCAAUGUUUUUAAGUUUUACACAACAGCCUAGUCCUAUCCUUGAAAUGGCCCUAGACCCGUGGUAUGUAAGGCCCUCAGUUGGCUAGCUUUGCUUAGAUGGAUGCAUUGCAUUUACUUUUUAGCUGUUUGCGACAUUUAUGUACUAGUAACUGCCUGGGGAGGUUUUUUGAUUUUCCUUUCCUCUUUUAUUUUUACAUGGAACCUGAACAUAGGGAAUAUGUGGUGUUUUUUAACUUGUGAAAAUAGAAAAGGUCAGGCCUACUCAUGGUAGACCUAAGAAAACAUAAGUCAUAUUGCACCAGGACGUAAUGGUUGUAAAGACACUCCAGUUGAAUGCAUUCAGUUGUACAACUGACUAGGUAUCCCCCUUACUUUCUAAUAAGUACAUACAUGGCUUUAUUUCUCACUAUAUGGCCAGUAGGGAUUGGCAAUUUCAGUAAGCCCCAUGUUGUUUGUCUGUGAGUCAUGGGGUGUGUUCAGUUCGCUUUAACGUUUGCACUGAACGUGUGCACAGUUCAACAGCCUUUGAGGUACGUUUGGUGGGUGUGACCAUCUGAAAUCGUAAAACUUGUGAUGCACACCAUAUGAUAAUGUCCCCCUGGGCCACCAUAAGUGAUUUUCAACUGGUCUUUCAGUACAAUAGUUUACAUUGAAUUCAAUAUUGCGCAAAGUUCUAUCAUACUGAACCAAACCGUGUCAUAAGAUUUUGUGAUGGCGCCAUCUAGUGGUUAUGGGUCAUCUAACUAGGUGAUGGCAGUUCUGGGUAAUAUGUUCCUGUUCUUGAUGACUUCAGUUUACUGGUAAGUUUAAUGGUCUUAACAGCAUAUAAAGAAAAUCCAAUGAUGAAAUAUGUAUCUUUCUAGAUGACUGAUGUAAACUGAAGAAUUGUCAAAUCCAAAUCAUUACAUGCAAUGGUCCAAUCGGGGGCAAUUCAAAUACACAUAUCACUGAUUUCUUCUUCAAUGGGGAAUUACACAACAAAAUGUGAAGACUAAAGAUUGUAAAACAAUUCUGCCAAUUAAUAAAACACCCAGUGUUCCCUUUUC